ensembl:lncRNA
AAAUAUGUAAUUCUUUUCAGGAAGGCAUUCAGUUGUUGGGAAACACAUUUCCAUAAGUUUUUUGAGAGCAAUUAAUUACGUUCAACAUUGGCUGACCUAGCACAGGAAGUAGCUCUUUAAAUAGUUUAAUUGGGUUUAGUUGACGAUUUGUGGGUUUAGAACUCAUUACUAAUUUAGUGAACAUGUUGAGCGAUACAGUUAGUCAGGUGGACAUCCGUCAGUCAGGUGGACAUCCGUCAGUCAGGUGGACAUCCGUCAGUCAGGUGGACAUCCGUCAGUCAGGUGGACAUCAGUCAGUCAGGUGGACAUCCGUCAGUCAGGUGGUCAUCAUGAAUGGCCUCCUCAAUAUGGUAUCAUCCGGUACCUAGACAGUUAUGACCCUAAAAUGAAUGACUGUGUUGAGUUCAUUGGAAGUGUGACCCAAAAAUGAACCAUAAGGUUGUCAUGAGUUAGUAGUUUUAAUUAAGAAUACUCAGGAAGAAACAGAGAACAAAGAAGAGGGCCCCCAUCUCAGGGGACUCUCAAAAGGAUGGUCAGAUGGCGUUAUGGGUAAAAGUGUUUGUAUAAAAG